GAGUGCAUUUGCACAUUCGGCCUCGAACCUGCUUGGGCAUUAUCCUGAGGGGCACAAAGGAUAUGCUUAGCUAUCCAGUAGCCUGAUUUCACUUGAUAUUCCCCUUGAUUUGUGUAGUGCCACACUAAUUUAUCUAGUUUUUGCCUAAUUGGCACAGGGAUGGAAAGAAUGUUAUGCACUUCACUAAGAGCAGCAAAGGCAAUCCAAGCACGUAACUUC
rnacentral:misc_RNA from 1 species